rnacentral:rRNA from 1 species
AAUAUUGGACAAUGGGGGCAACCCUGAUCCAGCCAUGCCGCGUGUGUGAAUAAGGUCUUCGGAUUGUAAAGCACUUUAAGUUGGGAGGAAGGGGUGUAGAUUAAUACUCUGCAAUUUUGACGUUACCAACAGAAUAAGCACCCGCUAACUCUGUGCCAGCAUCCGCGGUAAUACAGAGGGUGCAAGCGUUAAGCGGAAUUACUGGGCGUAAAGCGCGCGUAGGUGGUUCAGUAAGAUGGGUGUGAAAACCCCGGGCUUAACCUGGGAACUGCUUUCAUAACUGCUGAGCUAGAGUACGGUAGAGGGUAGUGGAAUUUCCUGUGUAGCGGUGAAAUGCGUAGAUAUAGGAAGGAACACCAGUGGCGAAGGCGACUACCUGGACUGAUACUGACACUGAGGUGCGAAAGCGUGGGGAGCAAAC